CCUACGGGAGGCUGCAGUGGGGAAUAUUGCACAAUGGGCGCAAGCCUGAUGCAGCCAUGCCGCGUGUGUGAAGAAGGCCUUCGGGUUGUAAAGCACUUUCAGCGGGGAGGAAGGCGUUAAGGUUAAUAACCUUGGCGAUUGACGUUACCCGCAGAAGAAGCACCGGCUAACUCCGUGCCAGCAGCCGCGGUAAUACGGAGGGUGCAAGCGUUAAUCGGAAUUACUGGGCGUAAAGCGCUCGCAGGCGGUCUGUCAAGUCGGAUGUGAAAUCCCCGGGCUCAACCUGGGAACUGCAUUCGAAACUGGCAGGCUAGAGUCUUGUAGAGGGGGGUAGAAUUCCAGGUGUAGCGGUGAAAUGCGUAGAGAUCUGGAGGAAUACCGGUGGCGAAGGCGGCCCCCUGGACAAAGACUGACGCUCAGGUGCGAAAGCGUGGGGAGCAAACAGGAUUAGAUACCCGUGUAGUC
rnacentral:rRNA from 1 species